UAACCGCUGACAGGAAGAAUGUACCCCGUGAAUGUUA
rnacentral:ncRNA from 1 species